rnacentral:misc_RNA from 1 species
GAUGAAGAACGUAGCGAAAUGCGAUAAGUAAUGUGAAUUGCAGAACUCAGUGAAUCAUCGAAUCUUUGAACGCACAUUGCGCCCCCUGGUAUUCCGGGGGGCAUGCCUGUCCGAGCGUCAUUGCUGCCCUCAAGCACGGCUUGUGUGUUGGGCCUCCGUCCUCCUCCCGGGGGCCGGGCCCGAAAGGCAGCGGCGGCACCGCGUCCGGUCCUCGAGCGUAUGGGGCUUCGUCACCCGCUCUUGUAGGCCCGGCCGGCGCUUGCCGACACAUCAAUCUUUUUUCCAGGUUGACCUCGGAUCAGGUAGGGAUACCCGCUGAACUUAAGCAUAUCAAUAAGCGGAGGA